rnacentral:rRNA from 2 species
GCUUGCACCUGAUUGACGAUGGAUCACCAGUGAGUGGCGGACGGGUGAGUAACACGUAGGUAACCUGCCCCGGAGCGGGGGAUAACAUUUGGAAACAUAUGCUAAUACCGCAUAACAACAAAAGCCACAUGGCUUUUGUUUGAAAGAUGGCUUUGGCUAUCACUCUGGGAUGGACCUGCGGUGCAUUAGCUAGUUGGUAAGGUAACGGCUUACCAAGGCGAUGAUGCAUAGCCGAGUUGAGAGACUGAUCGGCCACAAUGGAACUGAGACACGGUCCAUACUCCUACGGGAGGCAGCAGUAGGGAAUCUUCCACAAUGGGCGCAAGCCUGAUGGAGCAACACCGCGUGAGUGAAGAAGGGUUUCGGCUCGUAAAGCUCUGUUGUUGGAGAAGAACGUGCGUGAGAGUAACUGUUCACGCAGUGACGGUAUCCAACCAGAAAGUCACGGCUAACUACGUGCCAGCAGCCGCGGUAAUACGUAGGUGGCAAGCGUUAUCCGGAUUUAUUGGGCGUAAAGCGAGCGCAGGCGGUUGCUUAGGUCUGAUGUGAAAGCCUUCGGCUUAACCGAAGAAGUGCAUCGGAAACCGGGCGACUUGAGUGCAGAAGAGGACAGUGGAACUCCAUGUGUAGCGGUGGAAUGCGUAGAUAUAUGGAAGAACACCAGUGGCGAAGGCGGCUGUCUGGUCUGCAACUGACGCUGAGGCUCGAAAGCAUGGGUAGCGAACAGGAUUAGAUACCCUGGUAGUCCAUGCCGUAAACGAUGAGUGCUAGGUGUUGGAGGGUUUCCGCCCUUCAGUGCCGGAGCUAACGCAUUAAGCACUCCGCCUGGGGAGUACGACCGCAAGGUUGAAACUCAAAGGAAUUGACGGGGGCCCGCACAAGCGGUGGAGCAUGUGGUUUAAUUCGAAGCUACGCGAAGAACCUUACCAGGUCUUGACAUCUUGCGCUAACCUUAGAGAUAAGGCGUUCCCUUCGGGGACGCAAUGACAGGUGGUGCAUGGUCGUCGUCAGCUCGUGUCGUGAGAUGUUGGGUUAAGUCCCGCAACGAGCGCAACCCUUGUUACUAGUUGCCAGCAUUAAGUUGGGCACUCUAGUGAGACUGCCGGUGACAAACCGGAGGAAGGUGGGGACGACGUCAGAUCAUCAUGCCCCUUAUGACCUGGGCUACACACGUGCUACAAUGGACGGUACAACGAGUCGCAAGCUCGCGAGAGUAAGCUAAUCUCUUAAAGCCGUUCUCAGUUCGGACUGUAGGCUGCAACUCGCCUACACGAAGUCGGAAUCGCUAGUAAUCGCGGAUCAGCAUGCCGCGGUGAAUACGUUCCCGGGCUUUGUUCACACCGCCCGUCACACCAUGGGAGUUUGUAACGC